UGUAUGAAAGAAAGAUAAAUGUGCACAUAUGUGCACAUAUACAGAAUAUCCUUAUCUAUACCAUUAUAUUUUAUGGAUGGAAAUAAGAAAAAAAUAUUAUACAGAGUGAUUUAAUAUAACUGUCACAGAGAGAAGACAAGGAGAAUCUCAAACAGUGACUUUAGGAGAGCAAAUAGAAAAGAAGGAAAAUGAGAUUAAAGGUAAUAAAUGUAAAGAAAGAUGAAAAUAAUGAUGAGUACUCUUCAAUAAUGAUGAAUCUCUUAAUAGCGCGCGCUUCAGGACUUUGAACGCUUCCGUAAAAUUCUGAGAAAUUCAUCGUAGCGGUCACACGAAACAAACACGUUUUUUCAAAUACACCGUCAGCAAAGGAUAUUGUGCCUACAAAUAUACGCGUCGCUGCGCGACUGAAUUAUUACUCUCAUUCAUACACACAACUAUCUAAUACGUAUGAAAGGGACAUUUUUCAUUAUUUUAAAGUAUACUAUUAUGAGACUUCAAUGUAAAUAUACAAUUGGAUGACUAGCA